rnacentral:tRNA from 1 species
GGAGCCAUGGCUCAGCGGUAGAACACCUGCCUAACACGCAGAAGGUCCCGGGUUCAGUCCUCGGCAUCUCCA